rnacentral:rRNA from 1 species
AUUGAACGCUGGCGGCAGGCCUAACACAUGCAAGUCGAAUGGUAACAGGAAACAGCUUGCUGUUUCGCUGACGAGUGGCGGACGGGUGAGUAAUGUCUGGGAAACUGCCUGAUGGAGGGGGAUAACUACUGGAAACGGUAGCUAAUACCGCAUAACGUCGCAAGACCAAAGAGGGGGACCUUCGGGCCCCUUGCCAUCAGAUGUGCCCAGAUGGGAUUUGCUAGUAGGUGGGGUAACGGCUCACCUAGGCGACGAUCCCUAGCUGGUCUGAGAGGAUGACCAGCCACACUGGAACUGAGACACGGUCCAGACUCCUACGGGAGGCAGCAGUGGGGAAUAUUGCACAAUGGGCGCAAGCCUGAUGCAGCCAUGCCGCGUGUAUGAAGAAGGCCUUCGGGUUGUAAAGUACUUUCAGCGGGGAGGAAGGGAGUAAAGUUAAUACCUUUGCUCAUUGACGUUACCCGCAGAAGAAGCACCGGCUAACUCCGUG